GCUAUGGUGAGGAAGUAAUUAGAGAUGAGUUUGGGUCUAGAAAACCAGGUAAUUAUGAAAUGAAAGCAGACCCAGAACUCAAAAAUGUCAUGUCCAAUCUGGUGGCUGGAAUGAACAACUUGAGUAAAAAGUUUGAUGCUUUCACUGUUUCCACUAGUUCGAGUUCAUACAAAGAGUCAAAUAAUCCCGUCAUGAAAGUGGAUCACGAGUCAUAUAGUUUGUGUGUUUUGUGUAAUAGUCCGGAGCAUCUAGUGGAGUGCCGCCCUAAUCUGCCCAUCAUAAAGGCCGAGCAAGCAAAUGCUCUAAAUUCAUAUAGUGCCUUUAAGAAGCCCACUCCCAACUCGUUCAGCCCAGUUUACCACCCUGAUAAUAGGUUCCACCCAAAUUU
rnacentral:lncRNA from 1 species